rnacentral:rRNA from 1 species
UAAAAAAAGGUAAGCUACUAAGAGCGAAUGGUGGAUGCCUUGACUGGUAAAGGCGAUGAAGGACGUACUAGACUGCGAUAAGCUACGGGGAGCUGUCAAGAAGCUUUGAUCCGUAGAUUUCCGAAUGGGGCAACCCAAUGUAUAGAGAUAUACAUUACCUAUAUAGGAGCGAACGAGGGGAAUUGAAACAUCUUAGUACCCUCAGGAAAAGAAAUCAAUAGAGAUUGCGUCAGUAGCGGCGAGCGAAAGCGCAAGAGGGCAAACCCAGUGCUUGCACUGGGGGUUGUAGGACUGCAAUGUGCAAGAGCUGAGUUUAGCAGAACAUUCUGGAAAGUAUAGCCAUAGAGGGUGAUAGUCCCGUAUGCGAAAAACAAAGCUUAGCUAGCAGUAUCCUGAGUAGGGCGGGACACGAGGAAUCCUGUCUGAAUCCGGGUCGACCACGAUCCAACCCUAAAUACUAAUACCAGAUCGAUAGUGCACAAGUACCGUGAGGGAAAGGUGAAAAGAACUGAGGUGAUCAGAGUGAAAUAGAACCUGAAACCAUUUGCUUACAAUCAUUCAGAGCACUAUGUAGCAAUACAGUGUGAUGGACUGCCUUUUGCAUAAUGAGCCUGCGAGUUGUGGUGUCUGGCAAGGUUAAGCAAACGCGAAGCCGUAGCGAAAGCGAGUCUGAAUAGGGCGCUUAGUCAGAUGCUGCAGACCCGAAACGAAGUGAUCUAUCCAUGAGCAAGUUGAAGCUAGUGUAAGAACUAGUGGAGGACUGAACCCAUAGGCGUUGAAAAGCCCCGGGAUGACUUGUGGAUAGGGGUGAAAGGCCAAUCAAACUUCGUGAUAGCUGGUUCUCUCCGAAAUAUAUUUAGGUAUAGCGUUGUGUCGUAAUAUAAGGGGGUAGAGCACUGAAUGGGCUAGGGCAUACACCAAUGUACCAAACCCUAUCAAACUCCGAAUACCUUAUAUGUAAUCACAGCAGUCAGGCGGCGAGUGAUAAAAUCCGUCGUCAAGAGGGAAACAACCCAGACUACCAGCUAAGGUCCCUAAAUCUUACUUAAGUGGAAAACGAUGUGAAGUUACUUAAACAACCAGGAGGUUGGCUUAGAAGCAGCCAUCCUUUAAAGAAAGCGUAAUAGCUCACUGGUCUAGUGAUUUUGCGCGGAAAAUAUAACGGGGCUAAAGUAAGUACCGAAGCUGUAGACUUGCACACAACUUAGAUUAUUUAAGUUUAGAAUAUGAGAAACUAAGUUAUAUGUUUAGUUAUAUUUUUACUGAUUUUUAUAGAGUAAAGAUAGAAAUAAAACUUAGUAAAAUCAGUAAAAAUAUUCUUAGGCUAAAGUUAAGUAGUUUAAGUUGUGUGCAAGUGGUAGGAGAGCGUUCUAUUUGCGUCGAAGGUAUACCGGUAAGGAGUGCUGGAGCGAAUAGAAGUGAGCAUGCAGGCAUGAGUAGCGAUAAUUAAUGUGAGAAUCAUUAACGCCGUAAACCCAAGGUUUCCUACGCGAUGCUCGUCAUCGUAGGGUUAGUCGGGUCCUAAGUCGAGUCCGAAAGGGGUAGACGAUGGCAAAUUGGUUAAUAUUCCAAUACCAACAUUAGUGUGCGAUGGAAGGACGCUUAGGGCUAAGGGGGCUAGCGGAUGGAAGUGCUAGUCUAAGGUCGUAGGAGGUUAUACAGGCAAAUCCGUAUAACAAUACUCCGAGAACUGAAAGGCUUUUUGAAGUCUUCGGAUGGAUAGAAGAACCCCUGAUGCCGUCGAGCCAAGAAAAGUUUCUAAGUUUAGCUAAUGUUGCCCGUACCGUAAACCGACACAGGUGGGUGGGAUGAGUAUUCUAAGGCGCGUGGAAGAACUCUCUUUAAGGAACUCUGCAAAAUAGCACCGUAUCUUCGGUAUAAGGUGUGGUUAGCUUUGUAUUAGGAUUUACUCCGAAAGCAAGGAAACUUACAACAAAGAGUCCCUCCCGACUGUUUACCAAAAACACAGCACUCUGCUAACUCGUAAGAGGAUGUAUAGGGUGUGACGCCUGCCCGGUGCUCGAAGGUUAAUUGAUGGGGUUAGCAUUAGCGAAGCUCUUGAUCGAAGCCCGAGUAAACGGCGGCCGUAACUAUAACGGUCCUAAGGUAGCGAAAUUCCUUGUCGGUUAAAUACCGACCUGCAUGAAUGGCGUAACGAGAUGGGAGCUGUCUCAAAGAGGGAUCCAGUGAAAUUGUAGUGGAGGUGAAAAUUCCUCCUACCCGCGGCAAGACGGAAAGACCCCGUGGACCUUUACUACAGCUUGACACUGCUACUUGGAUAAGAAUGUGCAGGAUAGG